UGGCCGAUGAUGACAUCAUGCUGCUGGACAACGGCAAAGAGGUGUACAUGUGGGUCGGUAAUCAGACCAGCCAGGUGGAGAUCAAACUGAGUCUCAAAGCCUGCCAGGGUUACAUCCAGCACAUGCGCUCCAAGGACGG